UGGCGGCGGCUGGCUUCGUGUCCUUAGUGUCCUCAGUAUUUGCUUGAAAAAGAAUCCUGCUGCGAUUCGAAAUGCGUUGGAGUAUAAGAAGAACAAAGCAAAUACUGAGGAAACUAAGGACACGAAGCCAGCCGCCGCCAGCGCCCGAAUACCGGAAGUAAACAUCUCAACUUCCGGUUUGACGAACGGAGCAGCGGCUACAGUGCGGCUAAGAGGAGGAGAUCGUGAGUUACAGCACUUGAACGCUGUCAGAGAUCCCAAAAGCCUCCAGCCGCAUUUGCACAGCAAAAUAGGCAUCUUACACACAAUGUGCUACUGUAUGGCUGAAGUGGAUAUACAUAUAUUUACAGGAUGUGGACAAGGCCAUUUCUGUAGGAUUACAUUUCAUGUUUUACUGACUUCGUUUGAUACUCACAAUCAAGAUGAGGGGAGUGUGGUUCACGUCUUGGAGGUGUGUCCAAAAUUUGGAGUGGGGCUCGAUAAUCUUCGUGGCGGGGUAGCCUGCUGUGGUUGGCCCUGGACAUCAGACCUUGCUUUCUUUGCUGCCACAUGUUUUUUUUUGGUGGUGUGUUACAGAAGUCCGACUUCUGCUGCUCCAGACUUCUUUUGAUGGACCUAGUAUUGAAAGUUAAAUGUUGUUAUGGCCAUUCCUUUACAAACAUACCCUAUACUACAAUGGACACUUUACCUGCUUCCGCAGCGUCAUCAUCAUCAGAUGUCAUGGGAGUUACUGUAGGACGAGCAGUACUGCUUUUUUCCAACACUGUAAAACCAAAAUAAAAAAAUCAUGUAUUCAUGCUAUUGUGGAUACAUCCACCCAUUAUGCUUAUAAACAUUAAUUCUGUAAAAAA